UCCAGCGCAACAUUUUCCAUUUGUAUUUCUUAUGCAUACUAUGAAGAUGAAUUAUAUUUUGAGUUUGUCAAUCAUUUUCUAUUAUUCUACCUUCAUUUCAUACUAUCAUACCAAGCAUAUCCUAAAAGCAUACCAUAUGCAUUUUCCCGGUGAGUACGUACGUACAGGCAGCUUUUAGGAGAAGAGCUUUCAGGAUUGAGCAUUGAGGACCUCCAAAAUCUUGAAAAUCAACUCGAGAAGAGUCUAAAAGGAGUGCGAACGAGGAAGGAACAAACGAUGAGGGAGGAGAUCAAAGAGCUACACAUGAAGGCAAACCUCACUCAACAAGAGAAUUUAGAACUACACAAGAAGAUACACAUUGUAAGUCAAGAGAAUGCAGAGCUGCAGAAAAAGAACAAACCAGAUGUCAUGAACUUGGGGCUUCAACUGCAUUAGGGUUGGUGGCAGCCCUCUAAAUGUGUUUACCAAGAACCAGGUUUGAACAAACUGGUGGAAGAACUAUAAGGUAGCAUGAUGGAUUCACAACCCUAGCUAAAGUCAUUGGUUGAUGUUUGUAAAUUGAUACCUUCAAGAACUUAGUUGGUGAUUUUCACAUUGGUUGUAUAAAGCAAUUUGUGUGGGGUUUAUAAAUUAAAUGAGCUAUAAUUUCUUCCAACAUAUAUCCAUCAUCUCUUGGGAUGAGUUUUCAUUUGUAA